rnacentral:rRNA from 1 species
UACAGAGGGGGCAAGCGUUGUCCGGAAUUACUGGGCGUACAGCGCGCGCAGGCGGUCCUGGACGUGCCGUGUGACAGACGUCGGCUCAACCGACGUAGGCCAGGGUACACGACAGGACUGGAGACAGAGAGAGGGAUGUGGAAUACCCGGUGGAGCGGUGAAAUGCGUAGAGAUCCGGAAGAACACCGGUGGCGAAGGCGGCCUGCUGGGACAUGGCUGACGCUGAGGCGCGACAGCGUGGGGAGCAAACAGG